rnacentral:rRNA from 1 species
GAGUGGCGAACUGGUGAGUAACACGUGGGUACCCUGCCACUUGAAGUAGGGGAUAACACUUGGAAACAGGUGCUAAUACCGUAUAACAACCAAAACCACCUGGUUUUGGUCCAAAAGAUGGCUUCGGCUAUCACUUUAGGAUGGACCCGCGGCGUAUUAGCUUGUUGGUAAGGUAACGGCCUACCAAGGCAAUGAUACGUAGCCGACCUGAGAGGGUAAUCGGCCACAUUGGGACUGAGACACGGCCCAAACUCCUACGGGAGGCAGCAGUAGGGAAUCUUCCACAAUGGACGAAAGUCUGAUGGAGCAACGCCGCGUGAGUGAUGAAGGGUUUCGGCUCGUAAAACUCUGUUGUUGGAGAAGAACAGGUGUGAGAGUAACUGUUCACAUCUUGACGGUAUCCAACCAGAAAGCCACGGCUAACUACGUGCCAGCAGCCGCGGUAAUACGUAGGUGGCAAGCGUUGUCCGGAUUUAUUGGGCGUAAAGCGAGCGCAGGCGGUUUCUUAGGUCUGAUGUGAAAGCCUUCGGCUUAACCGGAGAAGUGCAUCGGAAACCAGGAGACUUGAGUGCAGAAGAGGACAGUGGAACUCCAUGUGUAGCGGUGAAAUGCGUAGAUAUAUGGAAGAACACCAGUGGCGAAGGCGGCUGUCUGGUCUGUAACUGACGCUGAGGCUCGAAAGCAUGGGUAGCGAACAGGAUUAGAUACCCUGGUAGUCCAUGCCGUAAACGAUGAGUGCUAAGUGUUGGAGGGUUUCCGCCCUUCAGUGCUGCAGCUAACGCAUUAAGCACUCCGCCUGGGGAGUAC